rnacentral:lncRNA from 1 species
UUUUAUUUGAUUAUUGAAGAAAUUGAUGUCAAAUCUCUUUUUAAGAUCAGUUUCAUCCAUAACCAAUGUAAAAGUAUUAUCUUCAUUUAUAAAAUUGUCAUUUAAUUCAAUUAGAUCGAUUAUGUUAGAAACUGAUGUUAAAACACAGUAGGUAGUAUAUAAUUUUUUCACCGGUGAAUCUUGCAAGGUAUUGAUCUAAUAAUAUGGACGAUUUUAAAUUCUAUAAAUUAAAUAUGUUCCGUAAGUUGUUAUCGAAAGCUUUGUUACCAGUGAACUAGUUUAUGGUGAUGAGAUGUUCUGAAAGAAAGAUUGCCAAUGAAGAUAAAUAAAACAAAACUUAAAGACAACAGUUGCCGUAAAAAAUAAGAGAUUCAAAACCUAUUACUUUAGUGUGAUAUGACCCUUGUAUUUGCGGGAGUUAAAAUAGAAAGUUGCAAAUAAAGUGUUUGUUUUAUUAUUUCACCCUAUAAUAUUUUUGUG